rnacentral:rRNA from 1 species
GGGCAACCUGCCCUCAGCUCUGGGAUAACUCCAAGAAAUUGGGGCUAAUACCGGAUAUGACUGCUGACCGCAUGGUCUGGUGGUGGAAAGAUUUAUCGGCUGGGGAUGGGCCCGCGGCCUAUCAGCUUGUUGGUGGGGUAGUGGCCUACCAAGGCGACGACGGGUAGCCGGCCUGAGAGGGUGACCGGCCACACUGGGACUGAGACACGGCCCAGACUCCUACGGGAGGCAGCAGUGGGGAAUAUUGCGCAAUGGGCGAAAGCCUGACGCAGCGACGCCGCGUGGGGGAUGACGGCCUUCGGGUUGUAAACCUCUUUCAGCAGGGACGAAGCGAAAGUGACGGUACCUGCAGAAGAAGCACCGGCCAACUACGUGCCAGCAGCCGCGGUAAUACGUAGGGUGCAAGCGUUGUCCGGAAUUAUUGGGCGUAAAGAGCUCGUAGGCGGUUUGUUGCGUCGGCUGUGAAAACCUGAGGCUCAACCUCAGGCCUGCAGUCGAUACGAGCAGACUAGAGUGUUGCAGGGG